rnacentral:rRNA from 1 species
GACGAACGCUGGCGGCGUGCUUAACACAUGCAAGUCGAACGGAAAGGCCCUGCUUUUGUGGGGUGCUCGAGUGGCGAACGGGUGAGUAACACGUGAGUAACCUGCCCUUGACUUUGGGAUAACUUCAGGAAACUGGGGCUAAUACCGGAUAGGAGCUCCUGCUGCAUGGUGGGGGUUGGAAAGUUUCGGCGGUUGGGGAUGGACUCGCGGCUUAUCAGCUUGUUGGUGGGGUAGUGGCUUACCACGGCUUUGACGGGUAGCCGGCCUGUGAGGGUGACCGGCCACAUUGGGACUGAGAUACGGCCCAGACUCCUACGGGAGGCAGCAGUGGGGAAUAUUGCACAAUGGGCGGAAGCCUGGUGCAGCAACGCCGCGUGCGGGAUGACGGCCUUCGGGUUGUAAACCGCUUUCGCCUGUGACGAAGCGUGAGUGACGGUAAUGGGUAAAGAAGCACCGGCUAACUACGUG